UGUGAGUGGGAAACUUACCUGCCUAUCAUUGC
rnacentral:piRNA from 1 species